GCCUCUCUCUCCCGUGAAAAUAUCUUCUCUCUCCCUCAUUUCGCUACUCUUUUCCGUGCCGCCGCCACCCCCCUCCCUCUCGGCCGCAGCCUCCUCUCCUCCGCCUCCACCACCUCCUCCUCCCCUGCCUCUCCUCCGCCCAUGUCUCUUCACCCCCUCCCUCUGCCUCCGUGCUCAAAAGGAGGAGCCGGGGUCGCUGCCGCUGCGCCUCUACAUCGUCCUCACACGCCGUCGUCCUUGCCAUUCUGCCGGUGGAGAGCUCCUCCAUGAUGGCAUCCACCGGAUCUUGCCGGCCCAGAUCCACACGCCUCCUCCUUCCUCGGCAGCUCGUGGAGCCCCAUGAUGCGUCAACGACGCGUGGCCGCACUCGGUCGUGCUUCCCGCCGCUCCUAGUCACCCGGCGCCGUCCCGCCGACGCGGCCCACCGCACGCUGCCACCAGCGUCUUCUUCAUGGCGGUAGAGGCGCAGCUUGGGCCCGGGGACCCUGCCGGCGUGGGUGCGACGGCGCCGGCUUCAUCUCCAUGAGACGGCCGAAUCAGGAUGGAUCCAAGCUACCGACGUCUUUGAUGCCAUGGACGAGCCCUCAUCCAGCGACCAAGGAAGGCAGGAGAAAUCCCUCCUCCUUGCAUUGUUGCAUCACUGCAUCCCCACGGUAGUCCAGGAGGAGCUCGACCGCCUGCUUUGAGAAGAAGAGAUGGCAGGAGGAUGAGGCCUGGGCUUGACAAGAAGUGGGUUGGAGCAAGAAGUAGAGCAGGCAAUGCCCCUCUCUUCAUUGGCAUCUGCACAGCCAAAUCAAGGACCUAAGCUCCUGGAACCGCCCUCAUAUGCCCUACUCCUCUCGCAUUAGCGCAAAUUUGGCUCCUCCCCGCCUCCGUCUCCACGUGUGCAGCGACAACCCCGGGAGGAGCUCAAGCCGCAGAGGUGGUCCAUGGUGUCGUCGCCGUCAUCCUUGGCAGGAGAAGCGUGGGCUGCAGAGAUGGUCGGAUCUGUUCGAUCCUUGCGCUGCUGUCCGUCCACCAUCGAGGUUCGUCCCUGCAUCCUCGCCUCCAUCCUCUCUCACCGUCAUGUACGCCCUCGUGGCCGAACGAGGCGACGUGGAAGCUGUGGUGGCGCAAUGACAUCUUUCCUUGUUUCUGUACUUGUUGAAACAAUCAAUGGCCUCUUUUUACCUGCAGGAUAAUGUGUUUGUUCAGCUGAUUUGUAUAGUUUCAAUACCGGGUUGUUAAGGAGAAUGCAGAUGAUGCAUAUUCCACGAGUUGCAGACCCCCCAACAGCAAAUUCAGUCCUACGUUUUUUAUGUUAUGCAAAUUCCUGGAGGGUGUUCCAUGGUCGUCAUGAGUAGCAGCUGCUGAUAUUGCUGCUUUCACCUCCGCGUCGGCCCCGGGCAAAGCUGCAACCUUCUCUUCCCCCUCCCCCUAAUUCUCCUUAUUUCUUCAUACAUUUGGUUAUAUUCUAUUUACAUCCCAAAGGUUUACAAUUAACUGUACUACUGUGUUAUUUUAUUAGUAGUCAAGAGAAGUAUGCAGUGUGAUACUUAGUGUCGUAUUCAUUGAAUUUUUUUGAUCAUUCAAAGGUUACACAGAGAUGGCUGGCUCCGUCCUGCUCCGGUGAUGGCUUCCAUCCACUCGAUGAACAGGACUACACGGGAGAUGUAUGACGACCUAGCAAACCCCCGUCUGGUCAGCAGGUACAAUGCCCACCUUUGCUCGAUUUGUGACUUUGGGAGGAAUUGGAGAUAGGAAAUGCGGAGAUAGGUUGCUGGAUGGCGAUGCAGGCGUAUUAGCGCCAACUCAAAUGCCUGCAACUUGUGAGGAGUGAUGUCGUUUAUUUACCUGUGAUGUAUUAAUAUAUCUAGAAUCUUGGGAAGAAGCUAUUCACCAUGAGGGUUUUAAUUCUAUGUCAUAUUUCAUUUAAUUUUGCUCAAGUUCGCAGCCUCUUUGUUAGGCACUUUCAGUUUGUAACUCGAAGCAUCUCAUUUUUCUGGUAUUUGCAUGUUCAGGUCAAGAUGUACAUUCUGGCUGGGCCAAAUGGUCAGUCCACUGUAUAUAGUUGCUGCAUACUGUCUAAAACUGUUUAGCUGAUAAGAACAUUUAAGCAAGUUGUGUUUUGUACCAUACUGCAUUGAAAUUUUCAUCGAGAAAUAUUUUAAGACUUCAUAGUUAUUUCAAUCUGCCUUCACAAAGUAGAGUAAAUGAGAAAUUUAUUCUAUUGGUUACAAAUCAGUGACUUCUGGUACUUCAAAGUUUAAAGCAGUAUACAAUAUGCAAUGGUCUGUGGAGUGCAAUUGCUGAAAUUUCUCAGUACUCCCUUCUGUAUUUUGCUUUUUCUUGAGUAAGGCCGUACCAAAUUAUGGUUCAAACUUAUGUGUAUUCACAUAUUGGAUGUUGGCCUAACAGAGGUCAAAAUGUAAAAUAGUCAGGGGUCUGCUCUCUGCCUCGUGUGGAUGCAACAUGCUUGUCGAAAUUUAAUUCUGUAAAAGAGAAAUACUGAUAUAACGCAAUGAUCAAUGUGGAGUAGGAUAGUUAUAGAGUUCUUCCUCGGUUUUCAUUGAGCAAAGAUUGGACAUGUUUGACUCUUCUGUUGUCGUAAUUACCUCUCUAGGUUUGGAGAAAUUUAUGAUCACCAUGCACAUCCCCAUUACUUCCACUUAUGAUUUUGUAUCUAUAUGUAAAGUCAUUUGUCCUGAAAUUCUAUGCAGAAAUAUUCUGAUACUUUUCCUUAUGAGCCAGUGGAAGCCAAUGAGGGUUCCCCAUCCGAUGCUUGGUGCGGAGAAGGGGCCGUUCUCCUCUCAUGCGAGCAGCCCAAGUGCUGCCUGAUCCUUCCGUCCAAGAUGGAGGUGGUGAACAUCGAUGUGGCGACGCCUGAUGCGUACACGAGGCCGAUAUGUGUUGUGUCUGAUGUAAUUUGGAACUCUGGAAUUUUCAUGGCUGAAUGUUUGUCUUUGUGCUUGAAUUCAUUUGUGUUUGAUGUACUAUGAAUUAAUGAUUAGCUUUCCGAUUGACUUGGUUCUAUCUUUUGUCCGAAUCAAUUGAGAAAAAUCUGAAUAUAUAGCUGAAUGUGGUGGUUUCACACAUUCUGAACGAAGCUCGCA